rnacentral:rRNA from 1 species
UACGAAGGGGGGCUAGCGUUGUUCGGAAUUACUGGGCGUAAAGGGCGCGUAGGCGGUGCCUCAAGUCAGGCGUGAAAGCCCCGGGCUCAACCUGGGAACCGCGCUUGAGACUGGAGUACUAGAGUUCGGGAGAGGAUGGUGGAAUUCCCAGUGUAGAGGUGAAAUUCGUAGAUAUUCGCAAGAACACCAGUGGCGAAGGCGGCUCACUGGCCCGGUACUGACGCUGAGGUGCGAAAGCGUGGGGAGCAAACAGG